CUGGGCCUGCCUGAGAGCUGCCGGCACUGGGGAGCUACAGUUGAUUGAGGGAACCAUGAAUGCCAACAUGUACUGUGACAUACUGAAGCAGAGCAUGACCCCCAUCCCUUUGGAGACUGGGUCGCAGGGCAGUAUUCCAACAUGAUAACGACCCCAAACACACCUCCAAGAAGACCACUGUCUUGCUAAACAAGCUGAAGGUAAAGGUGAUGGACUGG